UGUAAGUCGCUCUGGAUAAGAGCGUCUGCUAAAUGACUAAAAUGUAAAAAAUGUAAAUGUAAAUGGUUCAAUUGAGACGGGUCCAAGACAGCUGGGGAGGAUGUAGCAGAAUGGAUCUUCCUGGUGUCUGAGGACAGGAUCCAAGUGACAUACCACCAGGAGGAUGACCAGGUUAUUCCUACUUGGAGAAACUUCAAGCCCAGAGAUUCAGGGGAUUCCCAGAACCCACACUCCUUCACCCUUCAGAUGGCUCCCACCUAUCCACCUGGCAUCCACCUUUCAGGUGUAAUCUUCAGGGGCAAUAAACAGUAGCUAAACAAUCUACAGAAUUUACAACUGGCUUAGAUCAUCUAUUUGGUGCCACCAGCAAUUUGAGAUAAAAUGUUCUUCCGUUAUGUGGGUUAAGUAACUAUGGUGUUUGUCCAAUGGUCUUUAUGGAUGUGCUUUCAGGUAGAUCCAUUUUAGAAGCCAAGUAAGAAUCUCUGUAUGAAAUGUUAGUCCAUAUGAUGAAGGUGGAGGAGAAUGUUUCACAGUCAAGGAGUCUGAGAAAGAGGUGUGCAUGUGUUGUGUAUGUACUUUGGCAUGAAUUAAUAGACCUUUUCCGACAUGUCUUCAAAUUAGAGAAAUAACAAUGUAACAAACAGUUAGUAUUUUUGCUCAGGUGAGGGCAAUACUGGGUGUAAGAGAACAAGAAGAGGGCAGUACUGAGCUUCACAUCUCCAUCUACAACACAGUGAGGAAUGAGAGAGCACGCUGUCACUGAGAGGCACUAGAGAGGAUGGCCAAAGAGGAGCGUCUUCGACAGAAGGUGAAGAAGCUGGACAUCUUAGCACCGUUUUAGGCCCAGUUGGGUGACCCAGAGAACCUGACCAGACAGGCUGCUAUACAGCUGACCUGAAGAAGUGGCUCGUGGAUAAGGCCAACCUCAUACAUGCACGUUUUGAGAGGGAGACCCAGGACCUUCAGCAGAAACAGCAGUGCUACCAGAAAAAACAGCCCACUAUGACCAAGGAGGAUGAAGAUGAAUACCUUGCUUACUGCUCUGAUGCCAUGUGCACGAUACAUAUUCUCAAACUGUUUGAGCAGGUAAAGCACUGUAAAGGCUUGAUUAAUGGUAAAGAAUUAUUUCACAUGAAAUCAAAUGCAACUAUAUUUGUCACAUGCUUUGUAUACAACAGGUGUAGACUAACAGUGAAAUGCUUACUUACGGGUCCUUUUC